AGCAGCCGCGGUAAUUCCAGCUCCAAUAGCGUAUAUUAAAGUUGUUGCAGUUAAAAAGCUCGUAGUUGAACUUCGGAAUUUAUUCAUUGGUCAGACUUAACUGUCUGUACUGGUGUUAUGAAUUCCUACCUUCUGAGGAAUUAUCAUGCCAUUUAGUUGGUGUGGUAGGGAAUCAGGACUGUUACUUUGAAAAAAUUAGAGUGUUUAAAGCAGGCUAACGUCUGAAUACAUUAGCAUGGAAUAAUAGAAUAGGACGGAUUGGUUCUAUUUUGUUGGUUUCUAGGAUCACCGUAAUGAUUAAUAGGGAUAGUUGGGGGCAUUAGUAUUCAAUUGUCAGAGGUGAAAUUCUUGGAUUUAUUGAAGACUAACUACUGCGAAAGCAUUUGCCAAGGAUGUUUUCAUUAAUCAAGAACGAAAGUUAGGGGAUCGAAGACGAUCAGAUACCGUCGU
rnacentral:rRNA from 1 species